rnacentral:rRNA from 1 species
UGCGUAGGCGGCUCAGAAAGUAGGGUGUGAAAGCCCUCGGCUCAACCGAGGAAUUGCGCCCUAAACUACUGGGCUCGAGGAACGCAGAGGUAAGCGGAACUUAGGGUGGAGCGGUGAAAUGCGUUGAUAUCCUAAGGAACACCAGGAGCGAAAGCGGCUUACUGGGCGUUUUCUGACGCUGAUGCACGAAAGCUAGGGGAGCGAACGGGAUUAGAUACCCCGGUAGUCCUAGCCGUAAACGAUGAGCACUGGAUUGGAGGCCCCCCCAUAGGCUUCUAGUCGUAGCGAAAGUGUUAAGUGCUCCGCCUGGGGAGUAUGGUCGCAAGGCUGAA